UCUGAAUGGAAGGGCCAUCGCUCAACGGAUAAAAGGUACUCCGGGGAUAACAGGCUGAUACCGCCCAAGAGUUCAUAUCGACGGCGGUGUUUGGCACCUCGAUGUCGGCUCAUCACAUCCUGGGGCUGAAGUCGGUCCCAAGGGUAUGGCUGUUCGCCAUUUAAAGUGGUACGCGAGCUGGGUUUAGAACGUCGUGAGACAGUUCGGUCCCUAUCUGCCGUGGGCGUUGGAAGAUUGAAGGGGGCUGCUCCUAGUACGAGAGGACCGGAGUGGACGAACCUCUGGUGUUCGGGUUGUGUCGCCAGACGCAUUGCCCGGUAGCUAAGUUCGGAAUCGAUAACCGCUGAAAGCAUCUAAGCGGGAAGCGAGCCCUGAGAUGAGUCUUCCCUGAUACUUUAAGUAUCCUAAAGGGUUGUCGGAGACUACGACGUUGAUAGGUCAGGUGUGUAAGUGCUGUGAGGCAUUGAGCUAACUGAUACUAAUUGCCCGUGAGGCUUAACCAUACAACACCCAAGGGGUUU
rnacentral:rRNA from 1 species